AGGCACUGAGCUCUGGUAAUGUGUUUAUAGGCAGUUUGGACUGACAUGGUAACAAGUCCUGCACUAACCUGACUAUCACAGAACAAUGAGGACUGUCUUGAUUUUUGUGCUCUUGGUGGUGUCUGUAAAAAGUGUUCAGAGUCAGAUGCCCACAAACUGUCCCACAAACUGACUUGCACAUAUUCUGGGUUUGGUGGCAACAAUUGGAAUUCUUGGAUCAGGCAGGCUCCAGGAAAAGGGCUAGAAUGGGUUGCAACAAUUAGUGAUUCAAGCAGUUAUAUCUACUACUCCCAGUCUAUUCAGGGACGGUUCACCAUCUCCAGAGACAACAGCAAGCAGCAGGUGUAUCUCCAGAUGAACAGCCUGAAGACUGAAGACUCUGCUGUUUAUUAUUGUGCCAGAGGUGACUACCGUUUUGACUACUGGGGGAAAGGGACAAUGGUUACUGUUUCAUCAGCCUCAUCAACUGCUCCGACUUUGUUCCCUCUUGCGCAAUGUGGCUCCGGGACCGGAGAUAUGAUGACUCUGGGUUGCAUUGCCACUGGCUUCACGCCUGCCUCCCUCACCUUCAAAUGGAAUGACGAAGGCGGGAAUUCCCUGACUGAUUUCGUUCAGUACCCUGCGGUCCAAACCCGUGGAAGCUACAUGGGAGUCAGUCAACUCCGUGUAAAGAGAGCAGACUGGGACAGUAAAACAUUUGAAUGCGCCGUGGAACAUUCUGCUGGAUCAAAGAAAGUACCAGUGAAAAAACAACUGCAGCGGGUCAUUCCUCCAAAUAUCACACUGUAUCCUCUCUGGGAGGAACUGGAGGUAGGAUCAAAGGUGGGAAUCCUCUGCAUCCUGAGUGGGUUCUACCCUGACAAGCUGAGUGUGGAGUGGCUGCUAGAUGACAAGACUGUGACCACAUCUCCAGUCCAGCGGAAGCUGCAGAGUGUAGAAGGUGAGGAGAAAACAUUCAGCCUGAACAGCCAGCUGGAGCUGGACUGGAGCCAAUGGACUCAAGGGUCAGAGGUCACAUGCAAGGCAACCCACAAUGCAGCACAAGGACCACCUACAGGAACACCAGUCUCCAGGACCACCAGCAUUUGCUCAGUGUUUCUCUCUUCUACUUCAUCCAUUGACCUGGAGACCCCCAGAUUCAGGACAGUGAUGACACAGACUGAGGUAACAGCUACAUGUGUAGUCCACUCUGCAUAUGACGCCAAAGUGUCCUGGAUUCUGGAUGGAAAAGACACAACCAGCCGAACCCCAGUGAACCAGGCCAGCAGGACAACUCAGAGCAUCAGCAGUAACCUGACUCUUCCCUCAAGCCAAUGGAAAACCCUGAACACAAUAACAUGCAGAGCUGAACAUCGCUGCUUCAACUCCACAGAGAAGACCAGUAAUGUUAAAGGACCUGCAGUGAGCAGCACUCCCACAGUUCUGAUCAGGAGGUCUCUCCCAGAGUUACUGAAGGGAGACAGUGCUGUGCUGGAGUGUGCCAUCACUCAACUCUCCUCCAGUGACCUCUAUGUCACCUUUCAGGCCAAUGGGGUUGAUUUCCCUGAGAAACAGUAUGUGGAUCUGCCUGCCUCCAAAGGCCCCCAUUCACUCACCAGACGGUUCUCUAUCCCCAAAUCACACUGGAAGACAGACAACACUUUCACCUGUAAAGUUAACCAAGGUUUCUCCAACAGCUUGGUGUCUAGCUCCAAAGUCAAACUUUUUGGUGAACUGUCCAUGGAACUCCUUCUUGUCCCCAGUGAGGAGUCGUCUGGCUCAGGGACCCAGAAACUCAUGUGUUCUGGGUGGGGCUUCAACCCUAAGAUCAAGUGGCUCUCUGGGUCUGAACAGAGGUCUGCAGCAGACAAUGAGAUAAGGAUGGGAGAAGACGGAUAUGUGGCACUAACCAGUCAUAUCACAGUAACACAGCAGGAGUGGAAUGAGGGAAAGGACUUCAUCUGUGAGGUAGAUGACAAAGACCUUCAGAAAACUGUCAGGAAGAGCACCAGUUUAUGCACAGCGUUUCCCUCGUCUACUCCAUCCCUCCACCUGGAGACUCCCAGAUUCAGGACAGUGAUGACACAGACUGAGGUAACAGCUACAUGUGUGAUCCACUCUGCAUAUGACGCCAAAGUGUCCUGGCUUCUGGAUGGAAAAGACCCAACCAGUAGGACCCCAGUGAACCAGGCCAGCAGCACAACUCAGAGCAUCAGCAGUAACCUGACUCUUCCCUCAAGCCAAUGGAAAACCCUGAACACAAUAACAUGCAGAGCUGAACAUCGCUGCUUCAACUCCACAGAGAAGACUAGUAAUGUUAAAGGCUCAGUGACCCCCACCGCACCAACAGCAACCCUGUUCCAGGGUCCCAGUGAGCUCGUCUGCCUGGUGCUUGGCUUCAGCCCUUCAGACAUCAACAUCACCUGGCUGCUGGACAACGUCACAGAGCUGUGGAACAACAACACUAGCACCCCCUACAGGGCACCAGGAGGAAAGUUCGGCAUCAGGAGCCACCUUAGCCUGGCACACCAGGACUGGGCACCGGGGGCUGUUUACACCUGCAGGGUGACCCACUCCACCCAGACUCUGGCCCUGAACAUAUCCAAACCAGAGCUCCUUGAGGUGGAGGGUGUGUUCUUUGAUGAGAACAGGUCUGAUCCCAUUCUGGCGGACACUGCAGAGGAGAACUGGAACAUGGCCUGCAUCUUCCUGGUCCUCUUCCUCAUCUCCCUCCUCUACAGCUUCACAGUCACUCUGGUCAAGGUGAGAGGGAGGAUAUAACCACCUCACAGGUUUUCACUGCUUAGCUUUGAAGUGCAAUAUACUGUAUGUUUGUUCGAUUAGCGUAAAACACUAAAUAUAAGAAUGCAUUCUUAUGUCCCAGUGUGUCUUUACUGCAUUGAUGACCUAUUGAAGCACCUGUUGAGUUUCAGACAUGGAAUGUCAUCCCACACAGAGGGGAUUCAGGUUAUCUUCAUGUUCCAUAUAAAUCUAAUGGGUCUACCCCGAGGCUAUAUGUUGUUGUUUUCUAUGUCACUGCAACCUCAUUAUCACACUUACUCACAUUUUAUUGCUGGUUAAGCCACAGUUACAUUUUGAAUAUAAAACAAGCAUUACAAGGUUUUCACAACUUAUACUUAUAUUUUUCUUUUCUUUUUUCCAGACAAAAUGAUGACUUCAGGACACUUCCAUAUGAUGGAUCUCUAGGAGUUCAACUGGAAAUGAAACCUUUUAUUUCAACCUUUUCUUAUACAAUUCAAACACGUUUCUUAAGAAAAUUGCAUAGUUUGAAUUUCUUACGGUUUCCUGUUGCAGGUUUGAUGACAGGGAAGUGUUCUUGUUUUUAUUCCCCACAAAGAUAGACAAUGUGGAGGUGCUUACUUGCUCUCAUCUCUUGUUAAUGCGUUAAUGCACAUUUUUCAGCAGAGAUAAAAAUGGAUGUUUAACCUCUAUUAAAUAAAGCAUACCAUUACUCUCUAUGAUGAAGUAUUUAGACACCAGUUAUUGCUGAAUUAUCUGCUGAUAAUAAAACAUUAUUUCAAACCA